rnacentral:snoRNA from 2 species
ACGCCCUGUGCCUCGCUCAGCUUUCUACUCUUGGUUAGCUUCGAGCUGGAUGCUCUCGGAUCCUCAGAGAUCCAAGUUGCAAUGGGCAAGACCAACCCCUUUCACCUCAUUUGAGUACGCCCUCAACUACCAGUGUUGUCCGGUGUAAUUACCGGUGAUUACAU